rnacentral:rRNA from 1 species
CACGUAGUUGGCCGGUGCUUCUUCUACCAGUACCGUCAGAAACCCUUCGUCCUGGUCGAAAGAGGUUUACAACCCGAAGGCCGUCAUCCCCCACGCGGCGUCGCUGCGUCAGGCUUCCGCCCAUUGCGCAAUAUUCCCCACUGCUGCCUCCCGUAGGAGUCUGGGCCGUGUCUCAGUCCCAGUGUGGCCGGUCGCCCUCUCAGGCCGGCUACCCGUCGUCGCCUUGGUAGGCCAUCACCCCACCAACAAGCUGAUAGGCCGCGGGCCCAUCCCCAGCCGAAAAAACUUUCCACCACCCACCAUGCGAUGAGAAGUGAAUAUCCAGUAUUAGACCCAGUUUCCCAGGCUUAUCCCAGAGCUGAGGGCAGGUCACCCACGUGUUACUCACCCGUUCGCCGCUCGUGUACCCCCGAAGAGGCCUUACCGCUCGACUUGCAUGUGUUAAGCACGCCGCCAGCGUUCGUCCUGAGCCAGGAUCAAACUCU